UCUCUGUUUGUCUUUGUCUUUUGUGUCUGUUCAUUCUCCACCACCCCUGGCACGGUCCCCAAUACCCCAUAAUGUUGGCAACGAGAAAGGAGCAGAGGAUGUGACAUCUGAAGACCAGCUCAAAAGAGUAAACUUUUACCAAGGCUUAUGCACAUUCCACCCCCCUCUUCAUGGCGUUAUUUCGGAGCAUCCUCCUAGUUUGAUGCCUUUGUGUCCUCUCUAAAAAUCCCAUGGAGUAAGAGACUUCUGCCCAGCAAGCCUGAUGACUAGUGUACUGACACCAGUUCCAUAAGUACCACCAUCUUAAGCCUAUCCCACUGUUUCAGCUUUGAACUUCUAGUUGGCAGAGUGAAGACAGCAUCCUGUGAGUCACCAACUUUGUAGAGGAUGCCCAACUAUACAACAAAGAGUUGCCGAACAUUUCUCUGGAGCGAACAAAUAGUGUGAUGGAUGGAACUAACUGGAUCACCAACAUGUGAGAGACGGCUGGUUCACUGGCCUUGGCCUCCUCAGACCUUGACAUUAAUUCACUGGAAGAGGAUGCAUUGGUUUAAAGAAUUUUAGUUGCAAGAGGACCAAGGAAAAACGGCAGCUAGGAGGCAAGACUAACUUGCAGCUCCCACUUGGAUGGACAGAACAACAUAUGGAGACUCACAUCAUGAACUUUUGCUCCAAGAACUACCACAGAAACAUACCAGGAAAGCCAAGAGAAUCCACAGACCCUUUGAGGGAGGUGGAUGGCUACUGCGGGCUCCGUGGGACAGCUGAGGAACCGUGAGUCAGCUUGCUUUCUCAGCUUGGAGGUUUGUAGCCUCGGGCAUGUUCUCAGCUCUGCUCACAGGCUGCCUGGAAAUAAACUUGGUGCUACUGGGUGGGCACGGUGGGAGUGAGACUGGCCUUUCAGGCUGUGGGCUCUGUGGGAGCUAGGUGAGGCCUGUGACUGCUGCCUUUCUCCCACUUCCCUGGUGACCUGUGUGUUGCAGCAGAGGCAGUCAUAAUCCCCAGAGAACAGAAGUCCAUUGGCCUGAAAACCACACUCCCAUCCCCCACGAUAGCCACAGCAAGCCCUGUCCAAGGAGAGUCUGAGCUCAGACACACCUAACCCUGCCCCACCUGAUUAGUCUUUCUCUACCUGCCCUGGUAGCCAAAGACAAGGGACAUAAUCUCCUGGGAGCUAUAUGGCCCCACCUACUGCCUGACCCUAGGGCAAGCUUGUAUCUCCCUGUACAACCGCAGCUGAUAUGCUCCUGAAAGCACCACUUCUUGGCUGGAGGCCAACAAACACAAAACCAGCAUAACUUAACAAAAAUAGAACCACGGACCCUCACAGAGUCCACUUCAGUCCCCUGCUACCUCCACUGGAGCAGGUGCUGGUAUUCACAGCUGAGGGACUUGAAGACAGAUCAUAUCACAAGACUCUUUGUAGACAUUCCCCAGUACCAGCCUGGAGCCCAGUAGCUCCACUGGGUGGCUAGAUCCAGAAGGUAAAUAACAAUCACUGCAGUUUGGCUCUCAGACAGCCCCAUCCCUAGAAGAAAGGGGAGAGCACCACAUCAAGGGAACACCUUGUGGGACAAAAGAAUCUAAACAGCAGCCCUUGAGUCUCAGGUCUUCAUCCUGACACAGUCUAGCCAAAUGAGAAGGAAAAAGAAAAAUAAUUCUGCUAAUAUGACAAAACAAAGUUCUUUAACACUCCCAAAGGAUCAUACUAGCUAACCAGCAAUGGAUACAAACCAAGACAAAAAUCUCUGAAUUGCCAGAGAAAGACUUCAGAAAGUUGGCUAUUAAGCUGAUCAAGGAGGCAUCAGAGAAAUGUGAAGUCCAACCUAAAGAAAUAAAAAAAAAAACAAAACUGGAUAUGAAUGGAGAACUUGUCAGUAAAAUAGAUAGCAUAAAUAAAAAGCAAUCACAACUUCCGGAAAUGAAGGACACACUUACAGAAUUGCAAAAUUCACUGGAAGGUCUUGGCAAUAGAGUCAAACAAGUAGAAGAAAGAACUUCAGAGCUUGAAAAUGAGGCUUUCGAAUUAACCCAAUCCCACAAAGACAAAAAAGAAAGAAUAAUAAUAAAAAAAAAGAACAAA